AUUGAACGCUGGCGGCAGGCCUAACACAUGCAAGUCGAACGGUAGCACAGAGGAGCUUGCUCCUCGGGUGACGAGUGGCGGACGGGUGAGUAAUGUCUGGGGACCGGCCCGAUAGCGGGGGAUAACCACUGGAAACGGUGGCUAAUACCGCAGAACGUCGCAAGACCAAAGAGGGGGACCUUCGGGCCUCUCACUAUCGGAUGAACCCAGAUGGGAUUAGCUAGUAGGCGGGGUAACGGCCCACCUAGGCGACGGUCCCUAGCUGGUCUGAGAGGAUGACCAGCCACACUGGAGCUGAGACACGGUCCAGACUCCGACGGGAGGCAGCAGUGGGGAAUAUUGCACAAUGGGCGCAAGCCUGAUGCAGCCAUGCCGCGUGUAUGAAGAAGGACUUCGGGUUGUAAAGUACUUUCAGCGGGGAGGAAGGCGAUGUGGUUAAUAACCGCAUUGAUUGACGUUACCCGCAGAAGAAGCACCGGCUAACUCCGUGCCAGCCGCCGCGGUAA
rnacentral:rRNA from 1 species